AUACGUAGGGGGCGAGCGUUGUCCGGAAUGAUUGGGCGUAAAGGGCGCGUAGGCGGCCCGGUAAGUCUGGAGUGAAAGUCCUGUUUUUAAGAUGGGAAUUGCUUUGGAUACUGUCGGGCUUGAGUGCAGGAGAGGUAAGUGGAAUUCCCAGUGUAGCGGUGAAAUGCGUAGAGAUUGGGAGGAACACCAGUGGCGAAGGCGACUUACUGGACUGUAACUGACGCUGAGGCGCGAAAGUGUGGGGAGCAAACAGGAUUAGAUACCCUGGUAGUCCACACUGUAAACGAUGAAUGCUAGGUGUAGGGGGUAUCGACCCCUUCUGUGCCGCAGUAAACACAAUAAGCAUUCCGCCUGGGGAGUACGGCCGCAAGGUUGAAACUCAAAUGAAUUGACGGGG
rnacentral:rRNA from 1 species